rnacentral:ncRNA from 3 species
GAAGUAAAAGUCGUAACAAG